rnacentral:sRNA from 1 species
CUUUACUACUCUCCUUACUCUACUAAGAGCCAAAUGGGACUUUAUAUUUCAAACUGGAAGGAUUGCUGUUUUGCAUCAAGUAGUUUAAGUGAUUUACCUUUUCCCUUUCCAUAUAUCCUUGCAUUAAAAUGUGCCACUGCUUUCAAGAGCCCACCAAGAAAACACAUUGUGGAGCGCUAUACAGAGUUUUAUCAUGUACCCACUCACAGUGAUGCCAGCAAGAAGAGACUGAUUGAGGAUACUGAAGACUGGCGUCCAAGGACUGGAACAACUCAGUCUCGCUCUUUCCGAAUCCUUGCCCAGAUCACUGGGACUGAACAUUUGAAAGAAUCUGAAGCCGAUAAUACAAAGAAGGCAAAUAACUCUCAGGAGGCUUCUCCGCAGUUGGCUUCCUCGGUAGCUUCCACACAGAGCAUGCCCGAGAGCCCGGACAGCCCAGCCUCCGGCAGACCAGGGGUGACCAGCCUCACAACUGCAGCUGCCUUCAAGCCUGUAGGAUCCACUGGCAUCAUCAAGUCACCAAGCUGGCAACGGCCAAACCAAGGAG